rnacentral:rRNA from 1 species
UUAAAUUGAAGAGUUUGAUCAUGGCUCAGAUUGAACGCUGGCGGCAGGCCUAACACAUGCAAGUCGAACGGUAACAGGAAACAGCUUGCUGUUUCGCUGACGAGUGGCGGACGGGGGAGUAAUGUCUGGGAAACUGCCUGAUGGAGGGGGAUAACUACUGGAAACGGUAGCUAAUACCGCAUAACGUCGCAAGACCAAAGAGGGGGACCUUCGGGCCUCUUGCCAUCGGAUGUGCCCAGAUGGGAUUAGCUAGUAGGUGGGGUAACGGCUCACCUAGGCGACGAUCCCUAGCUGGUCUGAGAGGAUGACCAGCCACACUGGAACUGAGACACGGUCCAGACUCCUACGGGAGGCAGCAGUGGGGAAUAUUGCACAAUGGGCGCAAGCCUGAUGCAGCCAUGCCGCGUGUAUGAAGAAGGCCUUCGGGUUGUAAAGUACUUUCAGCGGGGAGGAAGGG